GGCAACGGCGAAGGGAGUUCUCCGGCAGCAGCAGUGGCCAAGUGGUUGUUGCUUCAGCAAGAGUUGUUUAAGCCCAUAUGUGUUGAGGUGUGGAUUUUCGAUGGCGAAUCAGAGUGUUUGCACCAAACGGAGCAAUGGUGGGAAACCAGCAAAGGGAACUGCAUUUCGAUAAGUGGGUGGCCCUUCAUCGAUGAUCAGAGCAAAGGCUUAAUGGCCCGAGAAAAAAAGAGUACACGAAGUACUGCCAAGGGAACAACUUGCGUUAAGGGAAAGGAAAAUGCAUCGGAAUGAUUCUUUGAAUUUGUAUAGAGUUCUUACAAAAAAAGUAUAUAGCAUACUUAUUUUUUUAUUUACCGUACGCAGGUUCGACAUCUUUCAAGUUUCUCUAUCAACACUACGCAGGUUGGACAUCUUUCAAGUCUCUCUAUCAACACUACGCAGGUUCGACCUCCUCAAUAAGCAAUGUUGGGAUUGUGAUACAUGACAAGCAAAACGUCAGUGGCAUCCGUAGCAAUGGACGAUGGAAGACAAGAAUCGACUCAACCAAAACAAAUGUCAAAGGGAAAGAAAAGGCAACCUAUGCCAUGGGAAAUGAAAAUGAACGGAUUCAACCUCUUCGAGACAGAAAUAUUGGAAUAGUAAUCUGCGAUGAGUGGGACCACGAUGUCAUCCAUGUUGGGAAUGGAAAGGAAAAUUCACGGGUAUCUUUUAUCUUUCUUUUGAUAGUUUUAAUAAAUAUCCGGAGUCAAAUAGCAAAUUGUGGAGCAUCUCUAAAUUACACCUUUGUCUUCUUUGAGUCUAAUUGAACUUACCCGAUUUAAUAGCAUGGAAAGGUAGCCAUUUUCCCAAUUUGGUAUCUGCAAUUGCAGCACAUGAUUUUGAGAAUGGCUGGAAAGGAUUAGUACUCACUACUCAGGCUUGAAGCCAAUAUCCAAUCUUUUGAAGCAUUCUACUGAGAUUGUUAAGUUCAAUGCUUCUUUGAUCCGUGGCGUGACCAUUUGUUAUGUCCUUCGCUAGGUUGUUAAUAACAGUGAGAGAGUAAUUGCAGAAACUAACCCAUUCUAAUGAAGCCAAGGAUUUGGACCACAUGAAAUUUUGAUAUGAGAGUUGAUAAAGCUAUUUGAUAUGGUACCAUCAAAUGGGAGAUUGGACUAAAGCAAAAUUAGUAAUCAUUUACUUAGCAUUCAAUCAUUUUGGGGAUAGAGAAACUUCAGGUUUAGCAUUUGUGGUGGGGAUUUUGGACCAAAUGGAAUUCAAGGCUUCCUCAUUCAAUAUUGAAGUGAUAUUACCAAUUUUUUUGUUGGUCCUUUUUUAUAUUCCAUCAAAGUUAGGUAUAACAUUU